GUCAAUUGCAUGCCGCGACACAACCCAGCCCCAGCCUCGUCUUGAUAGGUCGCUGUCAGGAUGUGGGUGAGCUUUAUAGCCAUGCAUUUAAUAUGUCAAGAGGAAAUCAAGAGAUUAUUGGUCUGCAUAUACAAGAACAAAAGAUUUCACAAGCUUAGAUGUUUGGCUUCAUCCUGCUAGACAACAGUAGGAAGUUCAGCAAAGAAAAAAAAGUGCGAGAGCCUGCAAGCAGGAGCGGAGCAUGAUGUAACUCUUCCCUUCACCUUUCUUUGCCGCACUGGCAGGGUGGUGUAUGGCAAGGUGGGAAGGAAGCAAAUGAUUUGAGGGGUGGAGCCUCAUCACAGAGACCAAUAUUACUGCACGUCAAUGAACCACUCAAACUGGCGGUGGGUGGGGCAGAUCCAGAGGAAGUAUACCUGAGGGGAUAAAAGGAGGAAGUAUAAGCAACUCCUGAGUAUCUGUUGGUGGAGGUGCCAAAUACUAAGUCAUUGAGGAUGGAGGCAUAGGGUGUCACACCAAUGCCACCGCCCACCAUCACUGCCACCUCAAACUUGUACCAGUCUUGAUUGCCACCACCAAAUGGACCUUCAAGACGGAUCUGAGGGAUAAUGCUCUACUGUGAGAUAGAAAGGUAUACAUAAAAAACAAUAGAAUUUAGUCUGUAUAGCUAUUAAUUUUAAAGAUUAUAGAAAAUUACAUUUAACUGAGAUAACUGUACUAGUGAUCACAUAACUCCUCUAAUAUGUAAAACAUGCCAGCACUACUUCAGUUAUAAUAUUUAUAGUGUAACCAUUUUAAGACUUCAUUUAAUUAGUAUGAAUGCUUUAUGGCAAGGAUAUUGAAAAAAUUUUGAAGACAAAUCCACAGUGUGAUCUGAAAAACAGAUGUUAAACUAAACAAAACUAUUGAGAAAUUCUUAUAGAUGCAGUUUACAAAAAAUGAGCUGUUACAACUUUUCGUAACACUACAUAGCAAAGUGACUUUCCUCAGAUAAAUGGAAAUAAAUGACUUACCUUGGGGGGAUUCUCUUCAUCAUGAACAUAAUUGUGAGGGUCAAAGAACUUGCGGAGCUUCCACGUCCAUGGACCCUGAGCCUUGAUGUGGCAGGAAAGGAAGUUUUCAUGUGGUGCUGAGGUGAGAGUGAAAGAGUGGUACUCAGACUGCCUGAAGGCAGUGCAGGAGAGACGCACCCAUUGCCCACUGAGGUACUUGAAGUUUGGUGGCCUGU
rnacentral:lncRNA from 1 species